UUGUGUGUGUUCUGUGGGGAGAUGGUUGGAGCGGGAUAUGUUGGGUCCACAGAGGAAGCAGGAGGAUGACUGUGGUGUGAAGGACCAGCUCCACUCUCACAGGUGUUGUAAAUGGAAAAUGUGUCAGUAAAUGAAGCAAGUAAAAAAGAAAUGAAACAGAGGCCUACACUUACUUGCCAGCUUCUCAACAUGGAUGUAUGAGAGCUGAUUGUUGUUAUAUUCAAAUGAGCACAACUCCUGCUGAGGAACACCAGGGGAGAGGACUCCAUUACAGACCGGAAGUCAGCCCAGAAGAACAAUAGCCUGUUUUGUGUGUGUGUGUGUGUGUGUGUGCUACUUUCAGGCGUAGAUAUUGGAUGUAGAGAUGUG